rnacentral:rRNA from 1 species
UCAUAGUGAUCCGGUGGUUCUGAAUGGAAGGGCCAUCGCUCAACGGAUAAAAGGUACUCCGGGGAUAACAGGCUGAUACCGCCCAAGAGUUCAUAUCGACGGCGGUGUUUGGCACCUCGAUGUCGGCUCAUCACAUCCUGGGGCUGAAGUAGGUCCCAAGGGUAUGGCUGUUCGCCAUUUAAAGUGGUACGCGAGCUGGGUUUAGAACGUCGUGAGACAGUUCGGUCCCUAUCUGCCGUGGGCGCUGGAGAAUUGAGGGGGGCUGCUCCUAGUACGAGAGGACCGGAGUGGACGCAUCACUGGUGUUCGGGUUGUCAUGCCAAUGGCACUGCCCGGUAGCUAAAUGCGGAAAAGAUAAGUGCUGAAAGCAUCUAAGCACGAAACUUGCCCCGAGAUGAGUUCUCCCUGACCCUUUAAGGGUCCUGAAGGAACGUUGAAGACGACGACGUUGAUAGGUCGGGUGUGUAAGCGCAGCGAUGCGUUGAGCUAACCGAUACUAAUGAACCGUGAGGCUUAAC